AGACUCUGUGCGCGUGCAUAUCAAUAAGCGGAGGAAAAGAAACUAACAAGGAUUCCCCUAGUAACGGCGAGUGAAGCGGGAAGAGCUCAAAUUUUGAAAUCUUAAAGGGUUUCCCUUUACGAAUUGUAGUUUAAAGAAGUGUUUUCUGUUGGAGUUUCGGUAAAAGUUCUUUGGAAUAGGACAUCAUAGAGGGUGAGAAUCCCGUAUUUGACCGUUACUUUCCAGCUGUGUGAUACACUUUCAAAGAGUCGGAUUGUUUGGGAAUGCAGUCCAAAAUGGGUGGUAAAUUUCAUCUAAAGCUAAAUAUUGGCGAGAGACCGAUAGCGAACAAGUACCGUGAGGGAAAGAUGAAAAGAACUUUGAAAAGAGAGUUAAACAGUACGUGAAAUUGUCAAAAGGGAAGCGUUUGACACCAGUGUUGUUUAGUUGAAAAUCAAUUCAAUAAUUUUUGAUUUUGAGUGGUAUUGACUUCAUCAGCUUGCUGCUUUCUUUUCGGAAAUUAUUGAAUGCACUUUUCAGUUAACAAGUCAACAUCAAUUUCUUUUGUUGUAAAAGGGUAAGAGGAAGGUGGCUUACGCUUCGGCGUAAGUGUUUAUAGCCUUUUACCUCUGCAAUCGGAGAGAUUGAGGACAGCAGCGUAGACUCUUCGGGGUUAGAUACACUUGUGCUAAGCUAUAGCCUUGUAUAGACAACUUGUUGACUAUGCUCAGUCAUGUAGCUUACUCGCUUGUGCUAUUUUACCUACGCUUAGGAUGUUGAAGAUGUAGCACAUCAU
rnacentral:rRNA from 1 species